UACGUAGGGGGCAAGCGUUGUCCGGAUUUAUUGGGCGUAAAGCGCGCGUAGGUGGCUUCGUAAGUCCGUUGUGAAAGUCAAAGGCUCAACCUUUGAAAGCCGAUGGAUACUGCGGAGCUAGAGUACGGAAGAGGCGAGUGGAAUUCCUGGUGUAGCGGUGGAAUGCGCAGAUAUCAGGAGGAACACCAAUAGCGAAGGCAGCUCGCUGGGACGUUACUGACACUGAGGCGCGAAAGCGUGGGGAGCGAACAGG
rnacentral:rRNA from 1 species